rnacentral:rRNA from 1 species
CCUACGGGAGGCAGCAGUAGGGAAUAUUGCUCAAUGGGGGAAACCCUGAAGCAGCAACGCCGCGUGGAGGAUGAAGGUUUUCGGAUUGUAAACUCCUUUUGUUAGAGAAGAUAAUGACGGUAUCUAACGAAUAAGCACCGGCUAACUCCGUGCCAGCAGCCGCGGUAAUACGGAGGGUGCAAGCGUUACUCGGAAUCACUGGGCGUAAAGAGCGCGUAGGCGGGAUAGCAAGUCAGAUGUGAAAGCCUAUGGCUUAACCAUAGAACUGCAUUUGAAACUGUUAUUCUAGAGUAUGGGAGAGGUAAGUGGAAUUCUUGGUGUAGCGGUAAAAUCCGUAGAGAUCAGGAGGAAUACUCAUUGCGAAGGCGACCUGCUGGAACAUAACUGACGCUGAUGCGCGAAAGCGUGGGGAGCAAACAGGAUUAGAUACCCCAGUAGUC